rnacentral:rRNA from 1 species
UGGGGAAUAUUGGACAAUGGACCGAGAGUCUGAUCCAGCAAUUCUGUGUGCACGAUGACGUUUUUCGGAAUGUAAAGUGCUUUCAGUUGGGAAGAAAAAAAUGACGGUACCAACAGAAGAAGUGACGGCUAAAUACGUGCCAGCAGCCGCGGUAAUACGUAUGUCACGAGCGUUAUCCGGAUUUAUUGGGCGUAAAGCGCGUCUAGGUGGUUAUGUAAGUCUGAUGUGAAAAUGCAGGGCUCAACUCUGUAUUGCGUUGGAAACUGUAUAACUAGAGUACUGGAGAGGUAAGCGGAACUACAAGUGUAGAGGUGAAAUUCGUAGAUAUUUGUAGGAAUGCCGAUGGGGAAGCCAGCUUACUGGACAGAUACUGACGCUAAAGCGCGAAAGCGUGGGUAGCAAACAGG